rnacentral:rRNA from 1 species
UACGUAGGGAGCAAGCGUUAUCCGGAUUUAUUGGGUGUAAAGGGUGCGUAGACGGGAAGGUAAGUUAGUUGUGAAAUCCCCAGGCUCAACUUGGGAACUGCAACUAAAACUGUCUUUCUUGAGUGUUGGAGAGGAAAGUGGAAUUUCUAGUGUAGCGGUGAAAUGCGUAGAUAUUAGGAGGAACACCAGUGGCGAAGGCGACUUUCUGGACAAUAACUGACGUUGAGGCACGAAAGUGUGGGGGGCAAAC